AUUGAACGCUGGCGGCAGGCCUAACACAUGCAAGUCGGGCGAGAGGCGGACGGGUGAGUAAUGUAUGGGGACCUGCCCGAUGGAGGGGGAUAACUACUGGAAACGGUAGCUAAUACCGCAUACCAUCAGAUGAACCCAUAUGGGAUUAGCUUGUAGGUGAGGUAACGGCUCACCUAGGCGACGAUCCCUAGCUGGUCUGAGAGGAUGACCAGCCACACUGGGACUGAGACACGGCCCAGACUCCUACGGGAGGCAGCAGUGGGGAAUCUUGGACAAUGGGGGCAAGCCUGAUGCAGCCAUGCCGCGUGUAUGAAGAAGGCCUUCGGGUUGUAAAGUACUUUCGGUCGGGAAGCGGUACCGGCAGAAGAAGCACCGGCUAACUCCGUGCCAGCAGCCGCGGUAAUUC
rnacentral:rRNA from 1 species